GCAGUGGUUUGGUGGUAGAAUGCUCGUCUUCCAUGUGGGAGACCUGGGUUCAAUUCCUGGCCAAUGCG
rnacentral:tRNA from 1 species